GAUGAACGCUGGCGGCGUGCCUAAUACAUGCAAGUCGAGCGAACAGACGAGGAGCUUGCUCCUCUGACGUUAGCGGCGCACGGGUGAGUAACACGUGGAUAACCUCCCUAUAAGACUGGGAUAACUUCGGGAAACCGGAGCUAAUCCCGGAUAAUAUAUUGAACCGCAUGGUUCAUUAGUGAAAGACGGCUUUGCUGUCACUUAUAGAUGGAUCCGCGCCGCAUUAGCUAGUUGGUAAGGUAACGGGUUACCAAGGCAACGAGGCGUAGCCGACGGGAGAGAGUGAUAGGCCACACUGGAACUGAGACGCGGUCCAGACUCCUACGGGAGGCAGCAGUAGGGAAUCUUCCGCAAUGGGGGAAAGCCUGACGGAGCAACGCGGCGUGAGUGAUGAAGGUCUUCGGAUCGUAAAACUCUGUUAUUAGGGAAGAACAAAUGUGUAAGUAACUAUGCACGUCUUGACGGUACCUAAUCAGAAAGCCACGGCUAACUACGUG
rnacentral:rRNA from 1 species